GGGAAUUUAGUUAAUUAUAACAUUUAGUUUGCAUCUAAAAAGUAUUGAAUUUCAAUAUUUCUCA
rnacentral:tRNA from 1 species